rnacentral:rRNA from 1 species
UACGUAGGUGGCAAGCGUUGUCCGGAUUUACUGGGCGUAAAGAGCGCGCAGGCGGUCGUUCAAGUCGAGUGUGAAAGCCCCCGGCUCAACUGGGGAGGGUCACUCGAUACUGAUCGACUCGAAGGCAGAAGAGGGAAGCGGAAUUCCCGGUGUAGUGGUGAAAUGCGUAGAUAUUGGGAGGAACACCAGUGGCGAAGGCGGCUCACUGGACCGGAACUGACGCUGAGGCGCGAAAGCGUGGGGAGCAAACGGG